GAUGAACGCCAGCGGCAGGCCUAAUACAUGCAAGUCGAACGGUCCACUUCGGUGGAUAGUGGCGCACGGGUGCGUAACACGUAUGCAACCUACCUUACAUUGGGGGAUAGCCUUUCGAAAGGGAGAUUAAUACCGCAUAAGACAGUAACAUGGCAUCAUGUAGCUGUUAAAGAUUUAUCGAUGUAAGCUGGGCAUGCGUCCAAUUAGUUAGUUGGUGAGGUAAAGGCUCACCAAGACGAUGAUUGGUAGGGGAACUGAGAGGUCAAUCCCCCACACUGGCACUGAGAUACGGGCCAGACUCCUACGGGAGGCAGCAGUAGGGAAUAUUGGGCAAUGGACGCAAGUCUGACCCAGCCAUGCCGCGUGCAGGAAGAAGGCGUUCUGCGUUGUAAACUGCUUUUAUAUAGGAAGAAACGACCCUUGCGAGGGGCAUUGACGGUAUUAUAUGAAUAAGCACCGGCUAACUCCGUGCCAGCAGCCGCAGUAAUAC
rnacentral:rRNA from 1 species